UUCACGUAUGGAAAUUAGCUGAUCUACCCGAUACAUGGCGACGCAGUUAAAAUACUGUCGAAAGACAUGCUGUUGACACGGAUUUCAUGGGUUCAUGUGUCUUAGGUGUUAUUACGCUUAGUGGCUGACACGAUGAAGCGGUGAUUGUUAGAUUACCUGUCAAAGUGUAACAUGGAGAAAGUUUCGAAGUCCUCCAAGCUUGAGUUUAAAGAUGUAAUGGUGUCAACUAAAUCUAAGGUGCUACUGAAGAAUGUGUCUGGAUCAGCGUCUAGUGGUGAUCUGCUGGCCGUUAUGGGGCCUACAGGCGCUGGGAAAACGACUUUUCUCAAUAUAUUGGCGGGAAGAGUAUCAGGUGACACUGGGACAAUCACGCUAAACGGAUCACCGUUAAACAAAACACAGCGACGUCGCCUUGGUUACGUGUCGCAGGAUGACAUAUUCUUGUCAAACCUGACGUUGUGGGAAACACUUUACUUUACAGCGAUGAUACGUAUACCAGACCAAGUAUCACAACAGGAAAAGACCGAGAAAAUAUAUAGUGUUGUCGAUUCGCUCGGACUGAAAAAAUGCCUCCAUACACCUAUUGGUGAUAUUUUCUGUCGUGGUAUAUCUGGAGGAGAGAAGAAGAGAGCAAACAUUGCCUGUGAACUGCUGACAGACCCAGACAUACUUCUAAUAGACGAGCCGACUUCCGGUUUAGACUCUAGUACUGCACACACGCUGAUGGUUCAGCUGAAGAACUAUGCCACAGAGUAUAACAAGACGAUAGUGGCAACAAUACACCAACCUUCCAGCCAAGUAUUCCACAUGUUCUCCACCUUAUUGCUGCUCGUGGAAGGGGAGGUGGCAUACUUUGGUUUAGCCAAUAUGGUGAAAGAGUAUUUCGCUAGCCUUGGAAUGACAUGUAGUCAAUAUUAUAAUCCUGCCGACUUCCUCAUGGAUAUUUUGACGAAGGAUACGAUCAGAAAUAUGAAAGAAGAAGACAUAAGGAAUAUCCAAAGUCUGCAGCUGCCGACUGGUCGGCUGGACGGACGUUCUGCUACAGAAUCAGACAAAGAAGGAGGAACUGGACCAGCAGGGUUGCCACUUACGCUUGUUGGGUCAUUCCCUGAUGCCAGUAUCCAUGUAACAGAUGAUAACUAUAUUGUCGAAGGGGAUACAACUCGCCGAUGGCCAACAUCCUUCUGGACACAAUUUAAAAUGCUGAACUGGAGAUCGUACAAGCAAUCCAAGGGAAGAAUACUGCACAAAUUUGACCUGAUUCAAUCUGCUUUCAUUGCAGCGUUUGUCAGUAGAUUGUUCUACCAAACAGAGGAUUCGGUCAACACCGUCCGAGAUAGAAUGGGCUUGUUAAUGAUCUCCUUGACAUACUGGUCCUUUCAAAUGUUAAUCACCACCCUUUUAGGAUUUACUGGUGAGCGGGCGGUUGUCAGCAAGGAUCGUUCUGCCGGGGCGUACCGACUGUCAGCCUAUUACCUCGCCAAGAUUACCAGUGAGAUGCCCCUCCUACUGUGCGUCCCCCUCCUGUUCAACACUGCCGUGUACUGGUUGGCUGGUCUGGGAGGUGUGGACGGCUACUUUGUUUACAUCGGUAUUGGUAUCCUCAACUGUCUAAUGAUACAGCAAUCUGCCUGCACGCUUAAAAUUGAAUUCAAAUAAAAAGGACCCCUUGCUUUAAGAGUUCGUAUAAGAAAUGUCGCAACUCGACCGCGGUAGCCAAGUGGUUAAGACGUCUGACAGUCUGCUACAACUAGCCCUCAACCACUUGGUCGCUGGUUCGAGGCCUACGUGGGGCAGUUGCCAGGUACUGGCCGUAGAUGUUUCAUAACCAUAGCAAAACCACAUUGGGACUUAUAAUGGCUCUUAUUCCGAAAGGCUGGAAGGACAGGACCAAAAAUGAUCAAAUUGGCUAAAAUAAAAACAUUUUCUUGAGGCCAAGAUAUGCUAGAAUAAUUUACUAAUCAGAUAAAAAAAAAUCCUUAGGUGCUUUGCAAAAUUGUGAAUUUCGUAAUCUCGAGUCACCUAUUCCCUCUAGAUCUGGGGAAGAGAUAAAUGUUACGAUAGUUUAUAAAGGGAAAUUACACUUGGUGUAUUGUUAAUGGAAAAGAACUCAAACAUUGCUGGAACUAAUAUCAUGUGAUUGUGGUUUUAUGGAAUGAAAAUUAAGACACUGCCUCAUCUCUUGAGGGGAGCUAAAUUAGCUAUUAACUACAAAUUCAAUCAUCUUCUUAAAUUCAUUUUUCCAUUGUGGAAGUGGUAAAUUUACUAUAUUGAAGUAUUAUAUAGUAAAAUAUUAUAUUAUUUUAACUGUUUUCUGACAAUAACAAGCUUUGAUAUAUAUGCAGGUCACUCACUAUUACCAUUUUGUCGGCGAAUUCAUAGUCCAGAAGUCUUUUGUCAAUUAUAUGUUUUAUUUUAUGUUACAUCUCAACAACAAAUAACACUUAUAUUACAACUCGGGUUUCCACAAAUGCUCAUAGGCUUCUUGUUUCGAACUUAUCUGAACAACACUUUUUACCCAAAGAGCCGAAGUUGCCAAAAGGAAAAUUGUUCUUAUUAUGCCUCCCACUUUAUAAUAUUUUGCAUGCGUACAUUAAUAUCAAAUUUGUUUUCGUGAUUUUGUUGUUAUUGAUA
rnacentral:misc_RNA from 1 species